AGAAAAAUUUAAGUGACAUUAUUUCAGUGGAAAUCAAAAAAAUAUGUCAGAGCAAGACGAGAAAAGAGCUGGUGACUUUGAUGGAAUCUUGUUAAUGCUGAUGCAGUUACGAUGAAUUAUUGUGGUCUCAAUGAUAAAACGGCCGACGAUGUACUGAUAUGAAGCAGAAUUUGUUUCGUCUUUUUGGCUGAGGCUCUGAGAGAAGGCAAAAAUGUGACUUUACUCUUCACUACGAUAUACUACGGGACAGAACUAGCCAGUUGCGAAGCCACCACGCAUUCUACUUUGAAGAAUUCGACAUUAUUCCAACAUUUCGAAUCUUCAACCUAAUGGCUCAAGCGAAAGGACGGUAUUUAGGUUGUAGUGUUCCACAGUAGGUUCUUAGCACUAACUAUACCAUGAGCGUACACUCCUUCCUGCGUUAUGCGGUUAUCAGGGUCUAUGCCAUCUACCUUGAGACAUGAGGUUUAUUGGAAUAAAUUUCAAAUUCACAUCAGAAAUGUUGCCUUACCGUGUCUACAUAAUAUUGUUCUAUUAAUGCACAUUGUUUUGCCUGGACUGUUGUACUAAUUUGUUUGGAGUCCACUUCGAGUGUAAUUCCCCAAAUUCGUCGGGUUGUUUCAUCGGAUUUGGCACGUACGUUGAAAACAAAAGAAAAUCUGUUGCAGUUGACAAAAGUACUUUUCAUAGCCCAAUCUGCCUUGCAUUUUUAAUAGCAUAGAAGCUAUAGAAUAGUACCCGGAUUUUAUAUAUAGUAAUAGACAGAAUGUAUUUUAUAUGUUGCAUCCGGUUCAUCAGUAAAAUUAUUGAACGAGAAAUCAACGUUGUGAUCUAGAAUAAUCUAGAUGGAGUAGAAUAUAAUAAAAGUGGCAAGCAGACUGUGCUCUGUCCUAUCACUCAGAUGAUCGGAGUAAGAAUUGUGUUGUGUAUCGUGAUCAUUUGUAAAACUUUAUAUAUCAAAAACAAUAAUUUCUCGUCCGAUUACUAACUAGCCUUGUACCUACAAUAAUAUUACCACUCUUAGAUAUAUGCAUUUAAAACCCAAAUACACAAUAAUCGCUACGGCGUUCCCCGAUCUAUUGCAAGAAAAGAAACAAAACUGAGUUUAAUAUUUUUAUAAUACUCCUAUGUGUUUAUAUUAAGUCAAUAUUGUUGAAUAUAUUGAUAUAUUUAUGUUAGAGUAUUUUUAUAAGUAUUGCAUUAAAUUAACAAAAAAAAACUUA